rnacentral:rRNA from 1 species
UACGGAGGAUCCAAGCGUUAUCCGGAUUUAUUGGGUUUAAAGGGUGCGUAGGCGGGACAGUAAGUCAGUGGUGAAAUCCUAUCGCUUAACGAUAGAAUUGCCAUUGAAACUGCUCGGCUUGAGUAUCAUUGAAGUGGGUGGAAUGCAUCAUGUAGCGGUGAAAUGCUUAGAUAUGAUGCAGAACCCCGAUUGCGAAGGCAGCUCACUAAAUGGUAACUGACGCUGAGGCACGAAAGCGUGGGUAGCGAACAGG